CAGGUUAUACCGAUUAAAAGGAAUAAAAUGACAAUUAUAUAUAAAAUAUGUUGUGUACUCUAGUUUAUUAGGUUAAAUAGUUAGAUUUCGAAGGGAAAUUGCCAAAAAUACUAUUUUCAAAGUACCACUUUUCAUGUUUACACUAAUCACUUUUAGCACCAUCUUUAAUGAAGGGUAAAAACAUUUAUAACCAUUUGAUUAACAUUGACGAAAAAAAACAUAAGUUUAACUAAUCUAAACUUAAAACAUCGACUCUAAACCCUAAAUCAUCAACGUUAAACCCUAAACUAUGAAACAUCAACUCUAAACCCUAAACCCCGAAACAUCAACUCUAAACCCUAAACGUAAACCCUAAACCCUAAAACCCUAAACCUUCAAAUCUAAACCCUAAAACACCAAAUCUAGGAUUUUAGGGUUUAGGGUUUAGGAUUUAGGUUUAGAGUUUAGGGUUUAGAGUUGAAGGUUUAGGGUUUAGAGUUGAUGUUUUAGGGUUUAGGGUUAAUUUUUUAGGGUUUAGGGUUUAGAGUUUACUUUUUAGGGUUUAGGGUUUAGUGUUGAUAGUUUAGGGUUUAGUGUUGAUGAUAUAGGAUUUAGAGUUGAAGUUUAGGGUUUAGGGUUUAGAGUUGAUGUUUUAGGAUUUAGAGUUGAAGGUUUAGGUUUUAGGGUUUAGAGUUUAUGUUUCGAGGUAUAGGGUUUAGGGUUGAUGUUUCAGAGUUUAGGGUUCGUAUUUAUAAAAAAAAAUAGGGUUUAUGAUUGAUGGUUUGCGGUUUAGGGUUCGUAUUUCGAAAAAGAAAUAGGUUUUAGGAUUCAUGGUUUCGAAAAUUUGGCUAUCCAGACAUUCAAACUAAUAUAUUUGGAUAAUGUUUCAGCGGAUUAAUUAUAUUAUUACAUCAAAUGAAGAACACUUACAUAUAUGAUGAUGAUGUAAUGGUAGUCGUAGAAUUCUCAAUGUUAUUUUGCUUAUUUAAGUAUAUUCUGUCGACAAGAAAUAAAAAAGCAUAUUCGUUCAUUUCCCCAAGUUCAGAAAGAUAAAAUCAAAGCACUGGUUUUUUUUUUCUGGACAGCGCUAGAUUUCAAUUUAUAGUUUAUUCCAAACGAAGCUAUUAAUAAGUGUCGUGUAUUAUGGAAAACUAUACUUUACUUUCCCUUUUUAUAAAGCAACGUAUCUACCUUCUUUUAUUGUAUCUUUCCCAGUAAACUAACAUAUCCACAACAUUGAAUUCAUCAAUCACCACAAAAAAAGGAUGACAACAUUUUUUUUGUUAUCUAAAGAUAAUAAUUAUAUUAAACAAGUGAUAUGUAAAUGUUACACAACUAGCCAGCAAAAAACAUAUUUGUUCCAAAGUCAUAAACCGGUAAGGUGAAACAUACCUCCUAGAAACUAGAACAAAAUCAGCACAAACACACAUAAAUUUAAAAUAAAACAGAGAUGGAAACAAAACACUAUAAAUUUUUGAAAAAUAUACAAAAUCAACAAGGAAACGAAACAAGGCGAUACUAAAUGCCAGAAUGAGAGAGAAAGCAUUGAAGGUCACAAUUAUUUGGGAUGAAAACAAUUGUGGGAACCGAAAUUUGUACUGUAGAUUUCCUUUUAAAUAAGGAAAGUUAGGAAAAUUUUAAUUUCUCAAAGGUCCCGGAUAUCUGCUUAACCACACGCCAAGCAACCAGAACACGAAAUAAAGACGAGAAAAAUAAGAAAUCGAAAAGAGAGCAAAAUAGAUCUUAUUCCGAAUCCGCGUUUGAGCGUUACAACAAGGUAAGAGCCUGGGCUACGAGAGCUGUCGGCGAGACUCCUAGUUUUAAAACCCUAAGAUUGCAAGACCUAAUUGAGUCGCAGAUCGAAUAACAAAAACAAAAAGUUGCCUAAAAUUGCUCUAAGUGCUAAGUUUGUUCUGAAAAAGUUCUCCUCCUCUGUGCCUCUCACCUAGGACUCCUUAUAUACUCCUCCAAGGUCGGUUUUAACUUUUCUCUUCCUGCCCUUAAGCCGUCUUAAGUGAAAAAUUGAGAUAUACUAUUUUUUCCGAUCAUCAUGUUUAUCCGCGAAAACUUAACAUUUUUUCUGCGGAAACUUAUCUUUAUAUUUGUUUUUAUAAUAAAAACAUAAACCGCCAUAGUAUCUACGAGCUCAUUCUUAAAGAAUCGUAAGUGGGCUUGUAGUCGCGUUUUAGACCUCGUUGGGCCGUCUUUCGACAUGAAACGUUUGUUAAGAUUUUUCUUUUCGACAAAAACAAGUUCUCGCGGUUUUUAUCGUAAAUUUUCAAUGGUAACUUUGAUCGGAAUGAUGUGAGAAAUGAUAUGGCUGAGGUACAUGGGAGCUAGCAUUGAGGAACAUACGAGAAUGCACAGAUUUGGGUCGUACCCGUUGAUCGAUGUCCGAGACAGGUCGGUUGCUACGUAGCGACCGACCGAGUGGCUUGGUUAUAAACAUGUUGCAAUAAAGAUUUAUUUCAUUUAAUAACCUACAUAUGCACCGAAUGUUUUAUUUCAUAUCGUUGGAUUAGUACAGGAUUAUAACCUCACCCACAACCACUAAAUGCUAAAUAUUACUCCAAUCCCCUAGACCUCAAUCACUAAACUCAAUCCCAAAUUAAAAUUAUAAUAUUUAUUUAUAAAAUUUUGAAUUAAACUAAAAUCUGAAACUAGUCAAUAUUUUGAAAUAUUAAAUUGUACUAUAUAAAAAUGGAAAGUAUAAUAUAAUUGUAAAUUAAAAUCAUUUGUUUGAGUAUGAUUAACGAAAUGAUAAAAUUGAGUUUGUAAACCACUUGUGUAGGUGUGGUUAAAACUAUUAUUCAUAUCAAUGAUACAACUUCAAAACAUAGUACAUGUUUAUUUAUGGUAAAAUCACAUUUAUAUUCUACAUUCGUUAAAUAGAAUAGAACAAAAUAAUAUUUCAUUGCAACAUUUAAAAGAGGUGAGGAGACUAUAGGUGGCGAGGUGGAGGAAGAGGGGACGGGUGGCAGCUAUGAAAUAACCGGUGGCAGAGCAUGCUACAUAUGUCUAUAAUAUAAUAGAACAAGAAUCGGUCAUCUUCUCUGAUCUUUUUUUCAAAUACACAAGUAACCGAUGAAAAUAAUAGAAUAUAACAUAUAUAAAUAUUAUAGUCUCAUUCUGAUUCACGGUAUUCAAUACCCCCGUGGCCAUAGUUCAUUUUUGAAUGUAUACCAUGCAACAUCUCCAAAUGCUCGUUAUCUAACGUUAUCAUUAUCAGCUCUAUCCAACGAAGAUUGAAAUAAUUAUUAACAUGUUGCCGUCCAACUAGCUCAAACCAAACCAAGUUUUGACUAAUCUACUUGGCAAUUGUAACUCAUCCAUUCCUAGCCUAAAACAGACAAAGAAACUAUAAAGUUGUAAAGAUUACAAAAGUCCAUGUCAAUGUGUCAAACAUAUCAAGAACAACAUUAUGCAUAUAAUGGCACACAAAACGUGUCUACAUUUCCACAGUUUUUAUACUGUUAAAAGAGCAUAAGUAUAUUCCACAACAGUUACUUUACUAUUAGCACAACAAAUAUACUAUACUACCUUUGAACAGAUAGUAAUUGUAUUACAUGACUACCAUCGACAAACAUCCUCAACAGAUGUAGUUGCACGCACGACAUGAACAAUAGUGAGUUAUGUUCUAGUACAAGAAUUAGAAAAUCAAUUUCGUUUACAUGCGUUCGUAUAUCUAUUUUAUACAAGAACUUAUAAUAAUAUACAUACUAACCAUCCAUAUAUAUAUAUUGUUCUAUUUAGAGUUCAUUGUCUAUUCUGAUUUCAAGUGGAAAAAAAAAACUGUUCUAUUUAAAUCUGUUCAUAUGGCAUCAACCGGUGUUUUCCAUUUAACUUCUACUAACAAGUAUUUUUUUUUUGCUUAGAUGUACUUAAUUUUUCUCCUCCAAUAAAAGAACUAACGGUGGCUGAAAAAACAUCUGUAUAAAACAGCGGUUAUUGAAGAAGAAAUUUUGUUGUUGGUACGGUACAAUAGGUGAAAGAAAAGAAGAGACACUGGGAGGAAGUAAAGAAAAAAGGUUUGCAACGGUGGCUGGAAGAGAAGAUGGGUUGCGACGAGUAAAAUAAUAAGUGGUGAUGGUUCGAUUAUACAGGUGAAGGUGAAUGUGGUGUUAUGACCGGAAAUGAAAUUGAUGGAAUAAUGAAGGAGAAGAAUCAUGUCUUUUGGCUUCAUAUUUUUAUCACCUAAUAGUGUAAACAUGUGAAGAAGAAUAAAACAAGAUAUAAUAAUUACAAAUAUCUAAUAAUUAUUUUAAUUUAUAUUUUUAACAGGUUAUACCGAUUAAAAGGAAUAAAAUGACAAUUAUAUAUAAAAUAUGUUGUGUACUCUAGUUUAUUAGGUUAAAUAGUUAGAUUUCGAAGGGAAAUUGCCAAAAAUACUAUUUUCAAAGUACCACUUUUCAUGUUUACACUAAUCACUUUUAGCACCAUCUUUAAUGAAGGGUAAAAACAUUUAUAACCAUUUGAUUAACAUUGACGAAAAAAAACAUAAGUUUAACUAAUCUAAACUUAAAACAUCGACUCUAAACCCUAAAUCAUCAACGUUAAACCCUAAACUAUGAAACAUCAACUCUAAACCCUAAACCCCGAAACAUCAACUCUAAACCCUAAACCCUAAACCCUAAACCCUAAACUUUCAAAUCUAAACCCUAAAACAUCAACUCUAAACCCUAAACAUAAACCCUAAACCCUAAAUCUAAACUUAAAACAGCAACUUUAAACCCUAAAUCAUCAACUUUAAACUUUAAACCGUGAAACAUCAACUCUAAACCCUAAACCCCGAAACACCAACUCUAAACACCAACUCUAAAUCCUAAACCCUAAAACCUUCUAAACCCUAGAACAUCAACUCUAAACCCUAAACCCUAAACCAUAUAUUUUUCUGAAAUUCAAACCCUAAACACUAAAACCCUAAACCUUCAAAUCUAAACCUUAAAACAUCAACUCUAAACCCUAAACGUAAACCCUAAACCCUAAAAC
rnacentral:lncRNA from 1 species